GUGGUGGAGGCCGGCAGCAGCAGGCCCGGCCCAAACGCGGAGGCCGGCGCUGGUGGCGGGCCCGGCCCAAACGCGGAGGCCGGCGCUGGUGGCGGGCCUGGCCCAAACGCGGAGGCCGGCGCUGGUGGCGGGCCCGGCCCAAACGCGGAGGCUGGCAGUGGCGGCGGGCCCGGGCCAAAUGCGGAAGGCGGCCCAAACGCGGAAGCUGGCGGUGGGCCCGGCCCAAACUCGGAGGCCGGCGGCGGGCCCGACCCAGCUGUGGAGAUAACAGAAAUUCAAACAAAAUACAAAACGUGCUGGAAAAGAAGACAUACAGCAUCUUGACUGAGAUCGUAGAAAAAGAGAAAAGAAAACUCAUCAGUCCACUAAACCUAUGUUGCUAAUAAAGAAAUACUUCCAACUCUGUGUUUAAA